CAGAUUGAGAUUAAAUUUGAAACCGAUGGUCCAGGAUUGGAGGUUAUGAAAUGCGGGGGCCGUUUGAUAUUCGAGCAAGACAUUGAAGAUCUAAACCAAACUAUGCCCAGGUGCAGCAACAGCAGCAGCUGUAGCAUCACUCCUUAUGAGGAUGAUUUUGAAGGUUCAGCAAAAGAUACCAAAACUAAGCGAAGCCGUGAUGACAAUGAUGGAACCAGUGGAGAAGGUACCUCUAAUGAGAUAGAUGUACCACACCCAAAGAGGAUACAACUCCAUAAUCUAAUUGAAAGAUUUAUUCCACAUUUGGGAAAUUGGAUUGAAAAUUUAAGCACACAAGGACAAGGUAACACUGAUUGCGAAAAAGAGGAAUCCCAGUGAAAGUAGAAGCUUUGAUGAAUCUGUACAGUUGAUAAUUUCCUUUUUCUCUAAAGUUUUUUUGCCCCCCAUACUGGAUACGAUUAUUGGACUUUGUAGUUUGUUGGCGAGGUGAGAUUCUCGCAUUGCCAGGAUCUGAGAAGAUAUGUACAACAGAUAUGUUGUAAAAUUAGAAGGAAAGAAGAAAACUUGGGCCAGUUUUCACCAA